rnacentral:misc_RNA from 1 species
UAAGAGCUCUAGGGUUUGUAGCAGGAGGGCGAACCAGGUAAACCAUCACAACUCGGGAAAGACAUGGCAUCUCCGCCGAUUGAGUCGGUUCAGUGUUUCGGCCGGAAAAAGACGGCGGUGGCAGUUACCUACUGCAAGCGCGGUAGGGGUUUGAUUAAGAUCAAUGGCUGCCCAAUCGAACUGGUGGAGCCGGAGAUCCUCCGUUUCAAGGCUUAUGAGCCUAUCCUCCUCCUUGGACGACACAGGUUCUCUGGUGUCGAUAUGCGUAUUAGAGUAAAGGGUGGAGGUCACACGUCGCAGAUUUACGCCAUCCGUCAGAGUAUCGCCAAGGCCUUGGUCGCGUUCUACCAGAAGUACGUGGACGAG